rnacentral:rRNA from 1 species
UACAGAGGGUGCGAGCGUUGUCCGGAAUCACUGGGCGUAAAGGGCGCGUAGGCGGUCGGGUAAGCGUGUGGUGAAAGUCCGGGGCUCAACCCCGGAUCGGCCAUGCGAACUGCUCGACUGGAGCACGGUAGAGGCACAUGGAAUUCCGGGUGUAGCGGUGGAAUGCGUAGAGAUCCGGAAGAACACCGGUGGCGAAGGUGGUGUGCUGGGCCGUAGCUGACGCUGAGGCGCGACAGCGUGGGGAGCAAACAGG